UAGCUUUAAGAAAAUUAAGAUAAAUUUAAAGUUCCACCUGCCCUGUGAUUUUAUUUAACGGCCGCAGUACUUUGACUGUGCUAAGGUAGCAUAAUAAAUUGGCCUUUAAUUGGGGUCGAGUAUGAAAGGGAUUAUGGGGAAAUACUGUCUCUUUAAAAAUUACAUAAAAUUUACUGAAUAGGUGAAAAUACCUAUAAUUACUUUUAAGACGAGAAGACCCUAAGAAUUAUAAUUAAAGGAUUUUAGUUCUUCGUUUUUGUUGGGGCAACAUUGUUAGGAGAUAUAACCAACAUUAAUAAAAUUUUACGUGUCUAUCAUAAUUAGAAAGGUUUUAAUUACCUUAGGGAUAACAGCAUAAUUAUAUUUAUAGAUUGUGACCUCGAUGUUGGACUAGGGACUUUAGUUAUUAUCCAUUACUAAAGAUAGUUCUGUUCGAACUGUAAAACCCU
rnacentral:rRNA from 1 species